rnacentral:rRNA from 1 species
AGAGUUUGAUCCUGGCUCAGAAUGAACGCUGGCGGCGUGCCUAACACAUGCAAGUCGUACGAGAAAGGGGCUUCGGCCCUGAGUAGAGUGGCGCACGGGUGAGUAACGCGUGGGUAAUCUACCCUUGGAUUUGGGAUAACUCUGCGAAAGUGGAGCUAAUACCGGAUAGUCUGGCUUUAAAUAAGAAGUCGGUAAAGGAUGCCUCUGCAUAUGCAUUCGUCCGAGGAUGAGCCCGCGUCUCAUUAGCUAGUUGGUAGGGUAAUGGCCUACCAAGGCAACGAUGAGUAGCUGGUCUGAGAGGAUGAUCAGCCACACUGGAACUGAAACACGGUCCAGACUCCUACGGGAGGCAGCAGUGGGGAAUAUUGCGCAAUGGGCGAAAGCCUGACGCAGCAACGCCGUGUGAGGGAUGAAGGCUUUCGGGUCGUAAACCUCUGUCGGAAGGGAAGAACGGGCAUUGGUCUAAUAGGCCUCUGUUUUGACGGUACCUUUAGAGGAAGCACCGGCUAACUCCGUGCCAGCAGCCGCGGUAA